rnacentral:rRNA from 1 species
CACGUAUCCAACCUGCCCUUUACUCGGGGAUAGCCUUUCGAAAGAAAGAUUAAUACCCGAUAGCAUAAUGAUUCCGCAUGGUUUCAUUAUUAAAGGAUUCCGGUAAAGGAUGGGGAUGCGUUCCAUUAGGUUGUUGGUGAGGUAACGGCUCACCAAGCCUUCGAUGGAUAGGGGUUCUGAGAGGAAGGUCCCCCACAUUGGAACUGAGACACGGUCCAAACUCCUACGGGAGGCAGCAGUGAGGAAUAUUGGUCAAUGGGCGCUAGCCUGAACCAGCCAAGUAGCGUGAAGGAUGAAGGCUCUAUGGGUCGUAAACUUCUUUUAUAUAAGAAUAAAGUGCAGUAUGUAUACUGUUUUGUAUGUAUUAUAUGAAUAAGGAUCGGCUAACUCCGUGCCAGCAGCCGCGGUAAUACGGAGGAUCCGAGCGUUAUCCGGAUUUAUUGGGUUUAAAGGGAGCGUAGGUGGACUGGUAAGUCAGUUGUGAAAGUUUGCGGCUCAACCGUAAAAUUGCAGUUGAUACUGUCAGUCUUGAGUACAGUAGAGGUGGGCGGAAUUCGUGGUGUAGCCGGUGAAAUGCUUAGAUAUCACGAAGAACUCCGAUUGCGAAG